UUAGUAAGGCCAGCACCUAGGGCUUCUAGGUGAAAAGUUCUACUGACUGCUGUUUUCCUGUGUGUGGCCACACUUUUCUGUUUCCAUUGUAUGUCUUGUCUCUCUGUUGGAAAAUGAACAUUAUAGAUAACGUAAGGUGGCAACACUGGACACCAGAGACCCCCACACCAGGGUUUGUUGUUGUUGCUGUUUUGUUGUUAUUGUUCUUGUUGUUGAUCAUUGUUCAGUGACAACUUCCUGAGCUAAUUCUGUGAUGUCUAUAUUCCAUGUAUUGCCUGGCCACUGACCUCUCCCUUUUAUCUUACUGUUCAGAUAAUAAGCGGUCAGAGAUUUCCUUAAAUGCCUGAAUCGUAUUUGUCCAGCAUGGUGCUGCCCAACUCUACCUCAAAAUCUGGAACCUAAUUAAGGACCAGAGGACUGAUGUGCACUUGGAGGACGCCCUGCACUGCUUCUUCCAGCCCAGGGAGUUUUCAAGCAAAAGUAAGUGCUUCUGUGAGAACUGCAGGAAGAAGACACAUGGGAAACAGGUCUUGAAGCUGACCCAUUUGCCUCAGACCCUGACAAUCCACCUCAUGCCAUUCCCCAUCAGGAAUUCACAGCCUGGAGGGCAGUAUGAGCUCUUCACUGUAAUUACACAUGUGGGAAUGGUGGACUCCAGUCAUUACUGUGCCUACAUCCGGAAUGCC